UACAGAGGGUGCGAGCGUUAAUCGGAAUUACUGGGCGUAAAGGGCUCGUAGGCGGCCAACUAAGUCAGACGUGAAAUCCCUCGGCUUAACCGGGGAACUGCGUCUGAUACUGGAUGGCUUGAGUUUGGGAGAGGGAUGCGGAAUUCCAGGUGUAGCGGUGAAAUGCGUAGAUAUCUGGAGGAACACCGGUGGCGAAGGCGGCAUCCUGGACCAACACUGACGCUGAGUGAGCGAAAGCCAGGGGAGCAAACGGG
rnacentral:rRNA from 1 species